UAUGCUCGCUGUUGGACCGUGAAUUAGGGCUUCUCUGCAGAUCGGUGUUGAGGUAUCUUGACAGGUCGGUUUCGGGAGCUAUGGGCUGCUUCUUUGGUUGCUUUAGGGUCAAGGACGAUCGCCAUCUCUGCUCUCGGCCUCACCUCGUCUUCCUAUCCUUGCAUAACAAUCAGACGAGAGAAGGUUCUCCAAGCAAAGAUAGGUAAAGUCCAUGUUAUGGGUCUCCACAAAUUGACAAGGAGCUGAGGAAUGAGGUAUAUGAGUUUGGAAGUAUUGGAACCAUAGUCUUACUUGGAGAGAGGGUUGUUCUUGCAACUCUUGCUUUUGAUCUUAAUGUAAACCAUCCAUAUAAACCGCUGGUUGAGGCAAUAAAGAAAUUCAAAGUAGCUCAAAAUGCCCUUGCUCAAGUUGCAUGGAAUUUUGUAAAUGACGGGUGAAUAAAGGGCAAUGAAGUUGGUCCUGUAACAUCACACAUCGACCAAACGGAGAGGGGGCGAUGUGCCUUAUAUGUACAUGCCCACCUCCAUCUAGCA